UACGUAGGUCCCGAGCGUUGCCUGGAUUUAUUGGGCGUAAAGCGAGCGCAGGUGGUUUAUUAAGUCUGGUGUAAAAGGCAGUGGCUCAACCAUUGUAUGCAUUGGAAACUGGUAGACUUGAGUGCAGGAGAGGAGAGUGGAAUUCCAUGUGUAGCGGUGAAAUGCGUAGAUAUAUGGAGGAACACCGGUGGCGAAAGCGGCUCUCUGGCCUGUAACUGACACUGAGGCUCGAAAGCGUGGGGAGCAAACAGG
rnacentral:rRNA from 1 species